UUAAAAAAAGCACAUUUUUUUCAAAUGGGCUAAAUAUUUGAACAGACAUUUCACAAAAAAGGAUGCACAAAUAGCCAAUAAGAACGUGAAAAUGUGCUCAAUAGCAUUCAUUAUCAAGGAAAUGUAAAUUAAAAGAUUACCAGAAUGACUAAAAUCAAAAGUUCUGACAAUACAAAGUAUCGGUGAGAAUGUGAAACAGUUGCAACUCCAACACACAGCUGGUAGCAAAGUCAACUGAUACAACUUGGAAAACAGUUUGGCUGUUUAUAAAUUGUGCUUUCCAUAUGACCCCUCAAAAGCACUCCAAAGUACUUAUUCAAGAUUUUUUUUAAGUGUAUAUCCAUGCAAAGAGUUGAACACAAAUGUUCAUGACGGUUUUUCUAGUGAUAACAAAAAUCUGGGAGUAAUUUAAUUAUCCAUCAGUAGAUAAACCGAUAAGCCAUGUGUGCUUUAGCCACACAAUAGAAUACAGUAAAUGGGAACAAAUAACUGAUUCAUGCAACAACAAGGAUAAUUGUGUCUUACAUGCAUGAUGAAGCAUUUAGAAUAAACUAAAAUGCAUCAAAGUGGGGCUGGGGUGCAGCUCGGUGGUAGAGUCCUCGCCUAGCAUGUGUGAGGCCCUGAGUUUGAUCCCUGGCUCUGCAAAACAUGGAAAAACAAAAUGCAUAAACUAGAAGAUGUGUGAAUGGAUGUGUUAAAGCAAGUGUAAUAAAAUUUACUGCUAGAGUCUAGUGGUGAGUAUAUGGGUGCACAUUAUAAAAUUCUGUCUCCUUUGCUUUACGAUUGAAUGUAUUUAUACUAAAAUGUUAGAGAAGAAAACAAUGUGCUGAGUCAAAGAAUCCAGAUACAAAAACAUUUUACCAUAUGGUUUAUUUAUACAAAAUUCUAGAGUAAACAAAACAAAUCUAUAGUGACAGAAAGAUCUUCAGUGUUUACUUGUGGGCAAGAAGUGUUGAUUGCCUAAGGGCAUGAGGAAACUUUUGGGAAUAAUAGAACUAUUCUGUACUUUGUAUGAUGGAAAUAUACAUUUGUCAAAAGCCACCAAAUUGUGUACUUAAAGUGAGUGUAUUUGUUUAUGUAAAUUAUACAUUGAUUAAGUCGAUUUUGGAAUGAUUUGAAGAAAAAAAUGGGCAAACAAAAGCAGGAAGCUCUUCUUCUCAGGAAGCCCUGAGAUCCUAAGUGUAUCUAAUCAAUUCUGAAUAUCGAAGUGGAUGAUCCAACUAAGCUGUGCUCAAUAUCAGUGUUUUUGUUUUUCCUUUUGAGUUGUUCAGAUUAACAGACUGGAUUCUUCCCAUCUCCUGUUUGCAUAGGAAAGGCCUGGCUGCCAGAGCUCCUGAUGGGGAGUGGGGAAGAUGGAUGAGGUUUUCUAGUCCGGAAGGGUCAAACAGAGAAAGGUAGUCAAGGUCAGAAGAGAGAAAAAUCAUCAGCACCUGACGGCCACCAGCUGGGUCAGCAGAGUUACAGACUUGGAGGGAGAUGCUGACACAGAUGGAGGGGAAGCUUAGGUGCAGAUGUGGCCUCUCUGUGUCAUACUGCUGCUCUGUGAUGACCUAUUUCCAUUCUGCUCUUCCAUAGCAGGGGAGCCUGUUCUCAACAUCAAGUCAAUGUGCAGGCACUCUGGUUUUCCUUCUUUUAUUUUUGAACUCUUUUAUCAUAAAAUGUUUGGGAAGAAAAUAUUGUGAUAAAUGAAAGAAGCUAAACACAAAGGAAUAUACAAAAGAAUAGAUACCUCUUCAGUGCUUAACACCAGAGUUAAAUAUAGAACUAUUUCCCCAUGGCUCAGGACACAGGCUCCAUGGGACAAUCUCUCAUGCACACAUCCCCUCCUGGGGCCUACAGUGCUGCUUUUGCUGGGGAAGCUAUGUUUGAAUGUAGACAUGCAGUAAGUGGUAGCUAUUAUUAUAUCUUAGGCAUAUUAAUAUGUGCUUUAUACUCCACCCAUUGCCUGGAUCAUUAUUCUCAUUUUGCUAAGGUGAAAACUGAGGUUCUGAGAGGCUCAAUAAUUAGGUAACCAGAGUUUAAAGGCAUACAUACAAUAACAGGCAGAGAUGUGAUUCAAAACAAGGGAGUCUCAAUCCAGAGACCAUGCUCUAGGAGAAGAGUGUUGUGUGUUAUUAACCAAAGAGGUGGCCAUGCUGAGAAAAGACACUUGCUACCUCCACUUCACAUAGUGACACUAGGCACUGGCUACAUUUGGAUAAUCAGGCCAACCAAUAUCCAGCCUGAAUUCCUCUAUAUCCUAAAGCAGGUGUUUCUAGACUGUGGAUUGUAUGGAAUAGUAAUUGGAACCAGAUCUUAUGAUACCAAGCUUUGUUUGGGCAAAAUAAGGAUUUUUAAAAGAAAUAUAUCUACUCCAAAAUAAAGAUUUAUUAUCUAC